AUUGAACGCUGGCGGCAGGCUUAACACAUGCAAGUCGAGCGGAGAGAGGUAGCUUGCUACUGAUCUUAGCGGCGGACGGGUGAGUAAUGCUUAGGAAUCUGCCUAUUAGUGGGGGACAACAUUUCGAAAGGAAUGCUAAUACCGCAUACGUCCUACGGGAGAAAGCAGGGGAUCUUCGGACCUUGCGCUAAUAGAUGAGCCUAAGUCGGAUUAGCUAGUUGGUGGGGUGAAGGCCUACCAAGGCGACGAUCUGUAGCGGGUCUGAGAGGAUGAUCCGCCACACUGGGACUGAGACACGGCCCAGACUCCUACGGGAGGCAGCAGUGGGGAAUAUUGGACAAUGGGCGCAAGCCUGAUCCAGCCAUGCCGCGUGUGUGAAGAAGGCCUUAUGGUUGUAAAGCACUUUAAGCGAGGAGGAGGCUACUUUAGAUAAUACCUAGAGAUAGUGGACGUUACUCGCAGAAUAAGCACCGGCUAACUCUGUGCCAGCAGCCGCAGUAAUAC
rnacentral:rRNA from 1 species